ensembl:lncRNA
AAAUGGAUGAAAUAAAUAAUGUGUUGCUGACAGUGAGGUGUAAAUACUGAACAGUCACAAAUAAUUCCGCUAACUUGACUGAACGUGGCUGCAGUUCCCGUUAUUUAAACAUGAAUAUUGUUACUGUCCAAAGACAGUGGUUUUUGGAAUUUCAAGUUGGUUGUUUUUUGUGUUUAUUUUUUAUAUGUUUGAAUUUUGUAUUAGAAUUGUUCAUAAUGGGAGAGGUGAAUGUACACCUUUAAGAGGUCACAUGGCUGCGUUUUAGCGCGGGGUCACCCGUGUGGGAUUGUGGGUCAUAGCAGCACGGCUACGGAGGAGAACGCCAUUGUUGCUUCAGAGGACGCCAUUAUUGCUAAAGAGGACGGCAUUCUACACGGUCUGAGAGGCGCACACGAGUGAAAGUAGCAAUUCCUCCUUAAGGUCAGAGAUUGCAGCAUCUGAGGGCCUCUUCAAAAGAAGAUGUAGUUGAUGAAGGCGUUCUGGAGCAGGGCCAGAAAGACCACAACCAAGCAGCCUUGAGAUCUUAGGCAGCGUCUCCCUCAGACCAAAGAACUACAGACUCUUCACAACCUGCUCAAACUCUUGGUACAGGACCUCACCACACGGGUCAAGAAGGUUUCCGUCUCAUUUCUACUCUGAAGCUCACCUUCUCCUGCUCAAACUGCUGACAAAUGUUUCUGCUGCUCUAAAGUCUGGUCUCCAGAACUUCCUAAAAACUCUCAAAGUCUCUUCUGCUGCAGGUUGCUUUGUAGAACUGUUGCAGAAAACCUCACUAAACCACAUGGAGGGGCCUCAAGAUAGUCGUCCAAAUGAAACCGUACAAAAACCAAACUAACACAACCCAAACGCUAAAGUCUCCUGCAGCCUACCAGAGAACCUCUGAGAACAGAGAAUCAGAACAGGAACUCUUACCUUCUAGACAACCAGCGUUGGUUCACAAGAAUACAGAAUGUGUCUGACCAAAAACCUCUAAAGACUCACUACAGCCAAGAUAAAGACACAACUCAGCUGGACCAAAUCCACUAAUCACUGCACACAUUAGCACCAUGUGCUAACUGUGGCUAAAGAACCACCUUUACCAAGACAACUAUCCAGUACAAAGCCCUAGAACACACCAAGAAACAUAUUAAAGACGAUUUUACUGCUGGAAGCUGCAAGCCAAUGCCUAAAGAACAAACUAAAGGAAUGGAGCCAAACCCAGUUCAGUGGUGAAGAGAAACAGAGGAAAUGUUUGUCUGCAGCUAAAUAAAGCAGGAAGACACUGAGCUGCUCAGGUGUUCCUGAUAACACCAAGCAGCCACCUGGACAGCCAAUAGGAACACAGCUUACUGGAAGUCCAGAGGGCUGGGUUAGUGAAGGAAAUUUAGUUUAAAGUUGAAGCAGAAAGUUAACAAAGGAAGUUGAAAACCACCUUCUGAUACCUGAAAUCUCUGAGUUUUCACACAAAGAACACCUGAACAUGUCAAACUAGCUUCAUAGUAGAACCAUCAUUGUAAAAACGUCAUAGUAUGGUGUGUUGCUCAAAAAACAUUAUGACCUGGCUGUCUAGGGUUGCCGAAGAGCAACACAAAAACAGGACAAACGCUGGUUUCCAGGGGGUUAGGAGGCUAUUUAUUUGAAAGAGUAAGUUUACAACAACACAACAUGUGAGCAGAAAAAUCACAGUCUGUCUUUAGUUGAGCUGAAAAUAUUAGUUUUUGUCUUUUUUAUUGACCAAACUUUUCAGGAAGUAGAUGAAGAAUAAUUAAAGCUCUCAUGUAGAAGUCCAACUUAUUUUGGAUCCUUGUGGAGAGUUUAAUCUUAGAGUUUGUAAAGCUGUUGAGUUUUUAGUCACAUGGAUUGUUUUGACAUUUAAUAACCGAGUCCUGAAAUAAAAUUACAGUUGUGGAUUUCUGUCAUUUAGUCUGAACUAAACAAAUAACAGCAGCAUAAAUCUCAAACGUCAUUAUGAGAAGUCUGGAUUGAGGUUUCCCACUUGAUAAUGAUCAAAACAUGAAAUUUAGGUUGGUUUAAAGGAAUAUUCCACCUUAAAUCUUUGAAUGUUGACCUAAAAGGUUGGUUUCAGGAAGUAUUCCACCUACAAGGUCCUCAAACAUCCACCUUAAAGGAACAUUCCACCAAAAAUCCUUAGACAUGCACCUAAAAUGUUGGUUUAACCGAGUAUUCCAUCCAAAAUCCUCAAAGAGACCUGAGGGGCUGAUUAAAAGGAAUAUUCCACCUAAAACCUCAAAUAUAGACCCGAAAGGGGGUAGAACGUGGUAGAACGGCUCUGAAGAAUCUUGUACUUGUCUUAUCUGGAACAAUCUAACAGCCUAAACUGUUAACAGCAGUGUAAAGAAGCAAACAUACAGGCAUAGAUUAGGACUCAAACUAGAUUUAUUGUAGAAAACAAAUCAGCUUAGAGGCAUUUGUUCACACGUGGCUGAAUAGGAGGCCGUCCAAUCAGAUUCGAGGUCUUCACUCUGUAGGUUGUUUGUUGGGUGAGACUCUUUGAUCUCCAUCAGCUGACAUGGAUGUUUGAUGGUCUUCUUCUCUAGUGCCAGAUGAUUCAUCCAUGAAUUCAGCAGCUACAGACUGAAAUGAAGCUCAUGCUGCCGUUAUUGAAUUCCUGUUCCAGAUCAAAUGUUCAGAGCUCACCUUGAAUGCAGCCGUCUGCUGUCUGAUAGUUUUUCUCAUUGUAGUCUUCAAUAAAGUCUUUUUCC